ensembl:lincRNA uncharacterized LOC106146646
CGGGGACUCCUGAGGGGCGACGAGGGCUGCAGUGGGGGAGCAAGCCUUCCACUCCCGCAGCUUCCCAGCCAGUGCAGCCGCGGCGGACCAGAGAGACGGACCCGCACCCCCGGAGCCGACCGUCGGGAACGCCACCCGGUCCUUCACCUGAGGCACCGAGCAUCGCCUUUGCUAACCCUAGCACUUUCCACCUGAGCGUCAGCCCUUUCCGAUGUGUGCUGGCUCCUGCUUUUGCCCCAAGGAGACCUCUGUGUGCACAUGGCUCUGUAACCCCCUAGUCCAAGGCCGCGCUGCUGUGCAAAUCCACUGGAUGCAGAAGUUCAGCCCAGAGCUGCGGUUCUCCCUGGCAUGUGCUGAGGGGAGUGACACACAUGUCCUCUGCCAUGGAGUCCCUGAUGAGGUACAGGUGUGUUUGCCUGUGGCCACCACAGAAAACAUUUUACAUCAUGGCUGAAUCCAAGUAUACAGCACAAAUGAAAGAGCAGCUUCAUGUAACAAUAUUUACUAGAACCUUGUAAUGUACUCCAAUAUUUUCUACUCCUUUGCUUUUUCUUCUAAUGCAUGUUAUCCCAUUAAAUCCAUUUUGUGACUCAAGAGUAGUUUCCGGACCACAGAUGAAAAGACAUUGCCUGAGCAGUGGCUUCCUUGGUUCAGAAAGGGGGGUACUGGGCACCAUCCCAAAAACAAGGAAGUAGCUACACACUUGUUUUGUUCUUUCCCUAAAUGCACAGCUUUGAGAAUAAAAGAAAGUCUUGCCUUUCAAGCUGUUGUCUCUACUAUGGGUUUAAAAUAAAUCCAUUCAGACAUUCAACAGAAUUUUUUAUCCUUAGCCUUAUCUACUCUCUGAGAACAAUGAGUGUGGAAGAUGAUAGAAUGAUAC